GUAGUCUGGAGAAGCGUCCUCAGC
rnacentral:siRNA from 1 species